UCUCCGCUCUCCCCGCUCUCCGUGGCCCCCGGCCCCACGGAGCGACCCUGCUGUUUUCCGCGGUUUACACGCGAGGAAGCUGUCACGGGGGGCCAACCUUCACCCAAAGGUGCCUUUUUAUGGGGCAAACCCACUGAACCUUCUGCCACUGCAUACAUGUAUGGCAGAUGUGAAGCAAAGUCAGGUGUUUCUCUGAAUUGGACCACUGGAAUAUCAGGGGCAUGGGGCUCUUUCCUGCCUCCAUCCUGACCUUCAGCAAUAAGAUGGGAGCAGCAACAGUGUUGGUACAGUAAAAUUCUCAUUUAUUUUCAACUUAUGUGGUUGUAUUGCUCAUGAUUCCACAGUCCUCUCAACUUUUACAAAUCCGUCCACGUUUUGACAACAUCCAGACGCUCCCAGCUCUUUCAAAGUGUAACAUGGGAUUCGUUUUGACAUUUGCUUUAAGAGAAUUGCACAGCGCUCCGUACUUGCCCAAGCAACAGUCCUGCGGCCCUGGCUGCUGCAGAACCCCUGCUCACAUGGUGCCACAGGACCAGGCUCUGCCCACCGCACAAGGCUCGAGGCCACCCCUUUAGGAACCCUUUUAGGAAGGGUCCCCAGAMGCCCGCAGGCCCGGGGGAGCCCCUCUUCCCUCUGACUUACCGAUGGAGUACAUCUCCAGCUGCUGCCGCAGGCGGAUCUUCUUCAUGCUGUCGUAGAAGUUGGGUUCGGGCGGCGUCUCGGCGGCCGGGGGCAGGGUGAAGAUGCGCAUAAUCCUCCUCUUGUUCCUGCGAGGAGGGGGCAAGGCGGUGAGAGGUGUCGCCCCUCCACGAGGGGGCCCCGCGGGAGCCGCCGCCCCGCCCCGCCCCGCCCGGGCCUCCUCUCACCGCCGCGCGUAGACGAGCAGAGCGAGGCUGGCCAGCACCACCAGCAGGUACACGUUGGUGGCCUCGUUCCACGCCUCGUGCACCGAGUAGUCGAUGGCGCCGCCGUCGCCCAGCGCCGCCGAGGAUCCGCCGCCGCCGCCCGCCCCGCCGGCCCCCGCCACCACCGCCGCCAUGGGGAGCGCGGCCGGCAGGGGCGGCCCCGGCGGCCCCGGGAAGUGACGUCAUGGCGGCGCGAGGCGCCAUGGCGGGGMGGGCGGGGGUCCUGAGGGGAGCCGGGAAUAAUGAAUGAUAGAUAAUGCUGAGUGUAAAAUGCGCCGGUGAACAGUAGUGCUGCUGCUUGCUCAAAUGCAUAGAUAGAAAAAAAUCUUGAUAGUCGGCGCGCCUGAUGUGCAAUACUCCACCGAGCACCUGGGUUUGUGCAACUGUAAAUGACAGGUUGUAAAAGAGCUCUGACUGAGACCGUCGAGUCCAACCUAUGUCCAGACACCACUUUGUCAACCAGACCAGUCUUUCCUUAAACACCUCCAGAGACAGUGACUCCCCCACCUCCCUGGGCACUCCGUUCCAGAGUCAAAUCACCCUUUCUGWGAAGAAAUCMCUCCUAAUGUGCARCCUAAACCUAUGCUGRCGCAGCUUARGGCCACCUUAAGGCCUCUUGUCCUGUCACUUACUACCUUGGAGAAAAGGCUGACCCCCGCCUGGCUGCACCCUCCUUUCAGGAAUAAUCAGUGUCUCUUUCAGUAUGUUGAACUUUUCUGCUAACAAGMCUGACAAGAAAGCAUUACACAUCUUCGGAAGAAAAGUGGAAAAACAAAUCUUGCUGUGAACAACCCUGGAAGGGACUGGAACAUCCCACGACUCUGCAUGCAGCUUCCCAUGCAAAGGAAACCAAGGCCUGUAUCCACAAAGCAUGACCUCAGGUCCUGGAAUUUUCUCUGCAGCCUCCAGCACACAGCAACAGACUUUGCCUCACUCAGCCUUGCCUGGUCCACUUGAUGUAAUGAAAUGCUUGAUUCAAGACUCUGAUAAUCCACCCGCCCCCAACCUACAAGACAGGCAGAGACAGGUUUUCUUCCCCAUACCCCUCUGAUUUUAGUAAAUGUGAAUCAGUGGGUAAGACAGAGUUAGACUGAGGAGCACAUCUGGCACUGCCCUGAGUGUGACAGCYUUGCAAACCUAAGGAAAAGGGGUGAUCUUCCCCUUACCAGCCUGUAGAAAUAGGAGUUCUGGGGAUGCAGACUUUCUGMAUGACUUCCUUGAGGAGCCUGGUUCAAACACCAAAGUUUGUKGACUCUUUUGUUUGUAGCCUGUAGGUUAGCUUGUCUGGUACAAUUUUAUUUCCUUUUAUAGCUUGGUCUUUUGUUUCAAUCUUAGGCUCCUACAGCAUAUUCAGAAGUGGGAAAGAAAGCAACUCUUGAAUUUGGCCAGAGUGUAGUCAGGCCUCUGUGUGUGAGAAAUUGUGUUACCUGUUGGUAUAGAUUAUGUAGCAUGUUUAUUUGUGGCUUGGAUGAGGUGUGAUGGGUGUGUGCUGUUCAUGCAUGAGGACAUAAGUUGUUUUAUAUUUUCUUAUCUAAAGCUGAGUGUAGGCAAAAGACUGUCAUUUUGUGCUGUGCCUUGUAACAUCUGACCCGCAGAAUCCUGGCCUAUGAUCAAAGCAUGUAGGCACCAAACUAAUAAUAUGUAAUAAUAAUACAUGGCACUGGCAUAAACUAAACAUAGGUAAUGGAGACCCAAGCUUAGGGGCUAAAUUUUCAACAUUACAGGCACGUACACUGUGGGGGUUUCAGUUUGAGUUAGACACAACACUCCAUGCCUCCGCCAUCCCAGGAAUGAGCUCUUUGGGAGAAAAACACAUAAAAAUCCCAACCUUAACAGAAGUGGAGACUUUGUUCAUUCCACAAAGAAAUCCAGAGUGUACUUGAUAAAAGUACCAUCUUUGGUGUCAUAGAUUUAUCAAGAGAAUUGUUUAAGAGGGUCUUCCAGCUCUACAGGGAAAGAAUUCACUUUCCAAAGGUCAUUAGCAUCCAGCAACUACUAGAAAAUUGACUGAGAGCUACUGAAUGCUAUCAGUUUUUAAAAUCCAGUUACUGCAUAUCCAAAAUGUGAAUGCUGAAACAGUAAGCUUGGUCUUUUGAAAAUUAUGGCCAAAGAAUCUGUGUGUGUGUGUAAUUUUUAAUGGAUUUUGAGUUAGCCAGAGUUAAACAGAAUCAAAAAUUGCUGAGACAAAAAUAUCAUUGUAAUGUAAAUAAAUUCACCAUUUAAUCCUGAUAAAUACUGGAUUAUAGACUUCUGAACAGAGAUUGACAAUUAUUGGAAAUCAUGUGAUCAUCUCAAGUAUACAGUGUCUCAAUUAAAAUAAAACCACAAAAUCCUUUUUCUUUUUUAAAAGUACCAUCUAGCAUGUAAUUUAUUUGGUUGGACUCUACAAAUGUACACAUUAUAUCAUGSUAGAAGAACUCGAGAACCACUUUUUUCUUGUUCCCAGGGUCUCUUGACUGUUGGUAAGACWUAACAGUCAUAAUGAUAGAAUCGGUUUACAGUUGCAUAUUCUGCCAAAUACCUCACAAAUUAUAUUUGGCAAACAGCACUGCCUCUGUUUCACAAAGAUAAUGAUCUGAUGUUUUGUUUAUGUGGCACCAAAGGAAAAUAUUAUUUUAGAGCUUGUGACAGAAUUUCAAAAAGUUUGUGUGGUAUUCUAAACUUCUGAUACAUUUUAAAGUUACCGCUCUAUUAAAUAUAGAGCAACAUAGAUUUUCAAACUAUCCUGCAAAAAAGAAAAAAAAAUCAAACAAAUGUUCAGUUAAAUACAUUGUGUCCAUUUUACUUCCUCAGCGUUUACCCAGACCUAGGUARGAGCUGGGGUAGAUAUUCAUGUGCUACUUUUUAAAUCUGAUGGUGUCAAACAUACAGAUGCGCUGCCAUAAAGGCUGCUCACCCCUAYAGGAUUUAGUGUUAUAGGAGUCCUUUUAGGAUGUAGUCUGAAGUCCAUAGCGCAAAAUGGGAAAUGCUACAUCAGACUUGACUCCCCAGAAGAGUGCAGCCAGCAUGCAGUUUGGGAAGGAAAACAGCACAACCUUGACAGUGCUAUUCCUUGGAUGGCUCCAAGGAAAUAAUGAAAGGAGCAGUGGGUUUGAACUGAAUGUCAAACUCUGCUCUGAGACAGGCAGUUUCCAUUCUGUAACUGGUGGUACAAACCCACCUGGUAAGGGCUCAACUUCAGUGGGAAAUCCACUGGGAAUUUGUUUUGGCAACAUCACUGGACCAAGGCAGUGAGCCCUGACACAGCUGACACCUGCAGCCAGACUGUCAGCAGGCUCAGCUCCAUGCCCUAGGUCUCCUGGUGUCCUCCGCUGUUAGCACAGCAGUGUCCCACCAGAGUUCAGUCUGGGAACCAGGUGCUAUUUCCUGAGUCUGAGUCUGGCAGACCAUUUCUGCUUUGAUUCUUUGUCUAGCAGUUGGUUGGUUGGGGGUGGGUGCAGUAUGCUGUGGGACUCCUGCAGGGAUGGCAGAGGAGGCAUUGCCCAAAAGGGAAGGGCAAGGUGGUUACACAGACCUCAGCAAAAGAAUUGUCCUGUCCCUUGGAAAGGGGCCAGACCCAGGGCCUCCAUCUUGGUGAUAACAGCAAACAAAAGCCCUGGAACGACUGGGAUCAUAUCUGCCUUGGCACUGACUACCUAGGGUGGUUUGGGGAACCUCCUCUGAAGUUUUCUGUAGCUGUCCUUCUUGUCCUUCUCCAUCUUUGUGCAGUUUCUUUGACUGGACAUUUAGGAUGGAAGAACAGUAAUACAAAAGGACACAUGGCAAUGACCAUUCCUAGAGAAGCAACUUUUGUGGGAAAGGACAGGGAAUGUGGUAUACUUUAUCUGAGCCUGAGAUAAGAACCAGCAGCUGUUGUUGAGGUUAGCCAGAGCUGUGGCAGAGGUCUUAGCAAGKGAGGUCAUGCCCAUUGUUCUAGAGCUGGUUGGGGAGCAAGUGAGUAGAGAGGGGCUUGCAGGCUCCCAGCUGUGAGCAGGCCUCUUCCUGACCUUCAUCUUUUGAUGCUUUCCACAAGACAUACAAAAGCUGCUUGUACUGAGGCAGCAAAGUCCUUGAAUGUUUAUCAAAGUUGGUUUUAAUUGGUGGUAAAGACUGAAAUACCCAGAAAAGAGAUUUGGAGAGAGGGGAGAGUACUGCAUGUGGGACUGUCCUGCUUCUUUUCCCGCUCUCUGUGUUUCCUUGCCUCUUCUCUUUAAGGGAAAAGAAGCUGAAAAUUUGGGAAGGACUGGAUUAAUGCAAUCAUGAGAUGCAGAAGGAGUUAGCAGGGAAGAACAGAAAGAUGCAUAGGGUACAAAUGUCUGAUUUUACUGAAAGACUGGAAAGAGCUGGCACACAAACUUGGUUUUGGUCUUGCCAGGCUGAGAUAGAAAUGGAGAGUAAAGUACACAAAUACCAUGAGCAAGCUAAAAGGGAAGUGGUAUGUGUGGCAUGUGUGGCUAAUACGACAACCCUUGUAUCUAUCUGUCUUGUUCCUUCAGACUCACUAAUGCAAACACGAUGAGAUUUAUGGAAUUUUGCAAAAUUCUAAAAUACUGUCUGCAAGGCCAGAUUCUCGCUAUGUUUGGGCUUAAGAGCCAGCUGUUAAUAACUAAUGCUAGACUGACCAUGCUGCCAUCUAGUGUUUCCUAGUGGACAGAAACAUCCCAAAAAAAGAAACUGCA